AUCAAGCCCCCUUUCUCUCCUUCCUCCUCUUCUUCCUCUUCCUCAAACUUCCAUUUCCUCCUCGUUCCUAACAGAACAUUUCGCUCCUCAGUUCAUCUCCUCAACACAGAGAGCUGUCAGGAGACGUCCUCGGUUUGUUUCUUCGUCGUUGUGCCGACUGGAAUAAAAAAAAACAGCAGCAGGCGGGUUCCAGCCGGGAAAAGAAAAAGUUUGAGAGCUGAAGUUUGCGUGUGAGUGGUUUCCUCUCCUCUGUCGUCUGGGCGGUGAAGUGGCUCCACAGGAGAACUGGCAGCAGACUGUCACAGACGAGCCGGGGAGCCUACUGCCUCUGUUACAGACCACAUCUGAGCCGACGUUUGACCUUCCCAGCCUAAGGUGCAGACAGUCUCUCUUCCUGCUUCUCGCUCGUCAAGGAAAGCGUAGAGACCAUACGGACCAGGGUGGGCAAGUCUGGGUAAAUGGACAUCCA